GGGUUGUGAGGUUAAGCGACUAAGCGUACACGGUGGAUGCCCUGGCAGUCAGAGGCGAUGAAGGACGUGCUAAUCUGCGAUAAGCGUCGGUAAGGUGAUAUGAACCGUUAUAACCGGCGAUUUCCGAAUGGGGAAACCCAGUGUGUUUCGACACACUAUCAUUAACUGAAUCCAUAGGUUAAUGAGGCGAACCGGGGGAACUGAAACAUCUAAGUACCCCGAGGAAAAGAAAUCAACCGAGAUUCCCCCAGUAGCGGCGAGCGAACGGGGAGGAGCCCAGAGCCUGAAUCAGUGUGUGUGUUAGUGGAAGCGUCUGGAAAGGCGCGCGAUACAGGGUGACAGCCCCGUACACAAAAAUGCACAUAYUGUGAGCUCGAUGAGUAGGGCGGGACACGUGGUAUCCUGUCUGAAUAUGGGGGGACCAUCCUCCAAGGCUAAAUACUCCUGACUGACCGAUAGUGAACCAGUACCGUGAGGGAAAGGCGAAAAGAACCCCGGCGAGGGGAGUGAAAAAGAACCUGAAACCGUGUACGUACAAGCAGUGGGAGCCUCUUUUAUGGGGUGACUGCGUACCUUUUGUAUAAUGGGUCAGCGACUUAUAUUCUGUAGCAAGGUUAACCGAAUAGGGGAGCCGAAGGGAAACCGAGUCUUAACUGGGCGUUAAGUUGCAGGGUAUAGACCCGAAACCCGGUGAUCUAGCCAUGGGCAGGUUGAAGGUUGGGUAACACUAACUGGAGGACCGAACCGACUAAUGUUGAAAAAUUAGCGGAUGACUUGUGGCUGGGGGUGAAAGGCCAAUCAAACCGGGAGAUAGCUGGUUCUCCCCGAAAGCUAUUUAGGUAGCGCCUCGUGAACUCAUCUCCGGGGGUAGAGCACUGUUUCGGCAAGGGGGUCAUCCCGACUUACCAACCCGAUGCAAACUGCGAAUACCGGAGAAUGUUAUCACGGGAGACACACGGCGGGUGCUAACGUCCGUCGUGAAGAGGGAAACAACCCAGACCGCCAGCUAAGGUCCCAAAGUCAUGGUUAAGUGGGAAACGAUGUGGGAAGGCCCAGACAGCCAGGAUGUUGGCUUAGAAGCAGCCAUCAUUUAAAGAAAGCGUAAUAGCUCACUGGUCGAGUCGGCCUGCGCGGAAGAUGUAACGGGGCUAAACCAUGCACCGAAGCUGCGGCAGCGACACUAUGUGUUGUUGGGUAGGGGAGCGUUCUGUAAGCCUGUGAAGGUGURCUGUGAGGYAUGCUGGAGGUAUCAGAAGUGCGAAUGCUGACAUAAGUAACGAUAAAGCGGGUGAAAAGCCCGCUCGCCGGAAGACCAAGGGUUCCUGUCCAACGUUAAUCGGGGCAGGGUGAGUCGACCCCUAAGGCGAGGCCGAAAGGCGUAGUCGAUGGGAAACAGGUUAAUAUUCCUGUACUUGGUGUUACUGCGAAGGGGGGACGGAGAAGGCUAUGUUGGCCGGGCGACGGUUGUCCCGGUUUAAGCGUGUAGGCUGGUUUUCCAGGCAAAUCCGGAAAAUCAAGGCUGAGGCGUGAUGACGAGGCACUACGGUGCUGAAGCAACAAAUGCCCUGCUUCCAGGAAAAGCCUCUAAGCAUCAGGUAACAUCAAAUCGUACCCCAAACCGACACAGGUGGUCAGGUAGAGAAUACCAAGGCGCUUGAGAGAACUCGGGUGAAGGAACUAGGCAAAAUGGUGCCGUAACUUCGGGAGAAGGCACGCUGAUAUGUAGGUGAAGUCCCUCGCGGAUGGAGCUGAAAUCAGUCGAAGAUACCAGCUGGCUGCAACUGUUUAUUAAAAACACAGCACUGUGCAAACACGAAAGUGGACGUAUACGGUGUGACGCCUGCCCGGUGCCGGAAGGUUAAUUGAUGGGGUYAGCGCAAGCGAAGCUCUUGAUCGAAGCCCCGGUAAACGGCGGCCGUAACUAUAACGGUCCUAAGGUAGCGAAAUUCCUUGUCGGGUAAGUUCCGACCUGCACGAAUGGCGUAAUGAUGGCCAGGCUGUCUCCACCCGAGACUCAGUGAAAUUGAACUCGCUGUGAAGAUGCAGUGUACCCGCGGCAAGACGGAAAGACCCCGUGAACCUUUACUAUAGCUUGACACUGAACAUUGAGCCUUGAUGUGUAGGAUAGGUGGGAGGCUUAGAAGUGUGGACGCCAGUCUGCAUGGAGCCGACCUUGAAAUACCACCCUUUAAUGUUUGAUGUUCUAACGUKGACCCGUGAUCCGGGUUGCGGACAGUGUCUGGUGGGUAGUUUGACUGGGGCGGUCUCCUCCUAAAGAGUAACGGAGGAGCACGAAGGUUGGCUAAUCCUGGUCGGACAUCAGGAGGUUAGUGCAAUGGCAUAAGCCAGCUUGACUGCGAGCGUGACGGCGCGAGCAGGUGCGAAAGCAGGUCAUAGUGAUCCGGUGGUUCUGAAUGGAAGGGCCAUCGCUCAACGGAUAAAAGGUACUCCGGGGAUAACAGGCUGAUACCGCCCAAGAGUUCAUAUCGACGGCGGUGUUUGGCACCUCGAUGUCGGCUCAUCACAUCCUGGGGCUGAAGUAGGUCCCAAGGGUAUGGCUGUUCGCCAUUUAAAGUGGUACGCGAGCUGGGUUUAGAACGUCGUGAGACAGUUCGGUCCCUAUCUGCCGUGGGCGCUGGAGAAYUGAGGGGGGCUGCUCCUAGUACGAGAGGACCGGAGUGGACGCAUCACUGGUGUUCGGGUUGUCAUGCCAAUGGCACUGCCCGGUAGCUAAAUGCGGAAGAGAUAAGUGCUGAAAGCAUCUAAGCACGAAACUUGCCCCGAGAUGAGUUCUCCCUGACYCYUURAGRGKCCUGAAGGAACGUUGAAGACGACGACGUUGAUAGGCCGGGUGUGUAAGCGCAGCGAUGCGUUGAGCUAACCGGUACUAAUGAACCGUGAGGCUUAACCUUACAACGCCGAAGCUGUU
rnacentral:rRNA from 1 species